rnacentral:miRNA from 1 species
AGGUGCGAGGGGUCCAUCUUGUUUCCAGGGGCUUCCCUGUCCCCCGCUCCUCCCUGUCAUCUCUGCUAAGUUGCUGCUUCUCCUGCUGGCGGCCGCCCUCCU